GGGCUGGACAAUUCUCCUCUGUCUAAGCAGGGAGGAGGAUGAUUGCUGGAGGAUUGUAUUUGGCCAUCUUGCUCCACCUUCUCCUCUCAAUUCUCCAGACACAGCAAUCUUAAAGGUCCAGUUCAAUUUGCUGGAGAAUUUUACAAAAUGUUAUGAGAAGAAUUAACACCAAUUCUGCACUACCACUUUGAGAAUACAUAAGAGAUAAUCCCUACAACUUCUGGGAGAGGUGCAAGUAUCAACCAGUUGGAGACACAGGGAAAGGGUGAUAUAAUGCAGAAAGUGACUUGAACAAAUUUACACAGAAGGCAGUGAAGUGUGAUUCAAAUUCAAGCAGUCUAGACUGUGCCCCACACAACUCUGCAGCAUAACCUUGCAGUAUGAAAAUAAUGCCUCUCAUGCAGAUCAGGGAUAUGAGAUCCAGUGACUUACCCAAAGUUUCAAAGGAAAGAUGUAACAGAGCCAUCUCUGAACUUCUGCUCUUGGG
rnacentral:lncRNA from 10 species